rnacentral:rRNA from 1 species
AGAGCGAACGCUGGCGGCAGGCCUAACACAUGCAAGUCGAGCGCCCGUAGCAAUACGGGAGCGGCAGACGGGAUAGUAACACGUGGGAACGCGCCCUUCGGUUCGGAAUAGCUCAGGGAAACUUGAGCUAAUACCGGAUACGCCCUUACGGGGAAAGAUUUAUUGCCGAAGGAACGGCCCGCGUCCGAUUAGCUAGUUGGUGAGGUAAUGGCUCACCAAGGCGACGAUCGGUAGCUGGUCUGAGAGGAUGACCAGCAUCACUGGGACUGAGACACGGCCCAGACUCCUACGGGAGGCAGCAGUGGGGAAUAUUGGACAAUGGGCGCAAGCCUGAUCCAGCCAUGCCGCGUGGAUGAUGAAGGCCUUAGGGUUGUAAAGUCCUUUUAACGGGGAAGAUAAUGACGGUACCCGUAGAAUAAGCCCCGGCUAACUUCGUGCCAGCAGCCGC